rnacentral:rRNA from 1 species
UACGGAGGGUGCAAGCGUUGUCCGGAUUUAUUGGGUUUAAAGGGUGCGUAGGUGGUUUGAUAAGUCCGGGGUGAAAGCCCACAGCUCAACUGUGGAACUGCCCUGGAUACUGACGGGCUUGAGUACAGACGAGGUAGGCGGAAUGGAUGGUGUAGCGGUGAAAUGCAUAGAUACCAUCCAGAACACCGAUUGCGUAGGCAGCUUACUAGGCUGUAACUGACGCUGAGGCACGAAAGCGUGGGGAGCGAACAGG